rnacentral:lncRNA from 1 species
AGUACAAUCGACACAAUAGACAACAAUGAUGGUGACAUUGGCAAUGUUAAUGAUAACAUCACAUUUGAUAUUAAUACUAAUGUCAUUGGAAAUACUCAACCAACAAUAGCUUACGACAAACAAAACUAUGUUUACAAACAAGACAUAGACAACUACACAAAUAAUAAUUAUGCAAGUAAUGUAUGCAUAAAAAAUAAUAAUAUAAUGUUUGACGAAAACAAAAAACAUGUGUAUACUAUUAAUAAUAUGGACAUUGUGGAAAAUGACUUACCAUUAAACAACAUGAUGGGGAAACAAAACUACACAAACCAUAUAGAUUACGUAAACAGUAUAGAUUACGUAAACAAUAUGGAUAACAAAAACAAUAUGGAUAACAAAAACAAUAUGGAUAACAAAAACAACAAGAAUUACAAAAAUCUGAAAUUAUUAAAUGUACAACAAGCAAUAUUACCAGUUACUGAUAACACAUACUUAGAAGCAUUGUAUAAUAAAGUAAAAGAAGGAAAUCAUGACUAUGUUGUUAAUUCACAAGUAUACGACAAUGUGAAAUAUAAUAACUUAGAACAUGAUAUAUAUAAUAAGAAUGAUUCAAAUAUAGAUAUUUCAAGUAUUCAUAACAAAAAUAAAAACAAUUAUAAUAUUGGAAACAUAAGUAUUAAUGAAUAUAUCAAUAUGGAUAACAAUAUACAAAAUAAUUUAAUCAAUAUAGAUAAUAAUUUAAAAGAUGUUAAUGAGUAUAUAAAUAUGAACUCAUAUGGAGGUAUUAAUAUGUUAGAUAGUAAAUACAACGACGUGAUUAAUAAAAUGAACAUGUCAAAUAGUUACAACGAUAGAUCUAAUAAAUAUUUGAAUAAUGGUCAUUCAUUAACUACUACAAGUAACUCCAAUUUUAUAUCCUUAUACGAUAAUAUGUUAAACAAAAACCAAUGUGAUAAUAAUAACAGUAAUAGUAACGCCGUGGAUAAUAAUACCACCAUUAACGGUUUAAACCUUUUUAAUGUUAAUGAUAUUGUACAAGAAAAAACUAUCUCUCCAGUGUAUAAUCAUAAUGUUUUAAAUUAUAAUGCAAUAUAUAGAGAAGAUAUAAAUGAAAAUA